rnacentral:rRNA from 1 species
CCUACGGGUGGCAGCAGUGGGGAAUAUUGGGCAAUGGGGGAAACCCUGACCCAGCAACGCCGCGUGAAGGAAGAAGGCCUUCGGGUUGUAAACUUCUUUUACCAGGGACGAAGGACGUGACGGUACCUGGAGAAAAAGCCACGGCUAACUACGUGCCAGCAGCCGCGGUAAUACGUAGGUGGCAAGCGUUGUCCGGAUUUACUGGGUGUAAAGGGCGUGUAGGCGGAGCUGCAAGUCAGAUGUGAAAUCUCUGGGCUCAACCCAGAAACUGCAUUUGAAACUGUAGCCCUUGAGUAUCGGAGAGGCAAGCGGAAUUCCUAGUGUAGCGGUGAAAUGCGUAGAUAUUAGGAGGAACACCAGUGGCGAAGGCGGCUUGCUGGACGACAACUGACGCUGAGGCGCGAAAGCGUGGGGAGCAAACAGGAUUAGAUACCCUUGUA